GAUAGGGUUGACCUUCGCAAAAGGAUACUUGCGAAAAGAAGAAUACCGUCCGACGACUUUGACUCUCGAAGCAGGCCGGGUGUGUAUUAAAACAUUAAAAGGGUCUUUCCGAGACUAACCGUGGUGUUGUCACACAGGACUUGAGAGAGACCAUCCGGAUGGAUAGAGAAUUUGUUGAAAACUUUGUAGAGGCGUCCAAAAAGGUUGAGAACGCCGAACUAGAGGGCCUCAGGACAACCAUCGAUGGUUUAGAGUCCAAGAUAGAGCAGAAGGAGGCGGAGCUCCAGACGACCCAAAAAGACCUGCAGGACGUCUUGCUGGAA